rnacentral:tRNA from 1 species
GGCCGGUUAGCUCAGUCAGUUGAGCGUGGCUCUAACAACACUAAGGUUGUGGGUUCGAUUCCCAUUCGGUCC